rnacentral:rRNA from 1 species
UGGGGAAUUUUGGACAAUGGGCGAAAGCCUGAUCCAGCAAUGCCGCGUGAGUGAAGAAGGCCUUCGGGUUGUAAAGCUCUUUUGUCAGGGAAGAAACGGUGAGAGCUAAUAUCUUUUGCUAAUGACGGUACCUGAAGAAUAAGCACCGGCUAACUACGUGCCAGCAGCCGCGGUAAUACGUAGGGUGCAAGCGUUAAUCGGAAUUACUGGGCGUAAAGCGUGCGCAGGCGGUUUUGUAAGUCUGAUGUGAAAUCCCCGGGCUCAACCUGGGAAUUGCAUUGGAGACUGCAAGGCUAGAAUCUGGCAGAGGGGGGUAGAAUUCCACGUGUAGCAGUGAAAUGCGUAGAUAUGUGGAGGAACACCGAUGGCGAAGGCAGCCCCCUGGGUCAAGAUUGACGCUCAUGCACGAAAGCGUGGGGAGCAAACAGGAUUAGAUACCCUAGUAGUCCCUGAGCGGGCUGGCAAGGCGCAU